GAUGAAGAACGCAGCGAAAUGCGAUAAGUAAUGUGAAUUGCAGAAUUCAGUGAAUCAUCGAAUCUUUGAACGCAUCUUGCGCUCCUUGGUAUUCUGAGGAGCAUGCCUGUUUGAGUGUCAUUAAAUUCUCAACUACACUGACUUUGAAUUGGUGUGGCUUGGAUUUGGGGGGAAAAUUGUUGUGGGCUUUUUGUAUAGUCUGCUCCCCUGAAAUUGAUUAGCGGUACCUUUGUGGAACUGUCUACAGGUGUGAUAAUUAUCUACAUCUUAGACAUCUGCUGGAAUGCUGCUUUCUAAACCUUACUUGUAUUGACAAUCUUGACCUCAAAUCAGGUAGGAUUACCCGCUGAACUUAAGCAUAUCAAUAAGCGGAGGA
rnacentral:misc_RNA from 1 species